UACGGAGGGUGCAAGCGUUAUCCGGAUUCACUGGGUUUAAAGGGUGCGUAGGUGGCUUUAUAAGUCAGUGGUGAAAGCCCGGAGCUUAACUCCGGAACUGCCAUUGAUACUGUUUAGCUUGAAUCAAGUAGAGGUGGAUGGAAUAUUACAUGUAGCGGUGAAAUGCUUAGAGAUGUAAUAGAACACCAAUUGCGAAGGCAGUUCACUAUGCUUGCAUUGACACUGAGGCACGAAAGCGUGGGGAUCAAACAGG
rnacentral:rRNA from 1 species